GAUUAAAAUUAAAGCAGUGAAUUAAAAAAUAAUAUAACAUCAAACUGUUCAUUUAACUGUGAUAAUAUAAAUAGUUUCAUUUAAGUAUAUCAGUGAAAAACAUAUGAAUUUUGGUAAAUAUGUUCAUCAUAUUAUAGACCAUACCAUGUAGUAAGGUAGAGAGUUUUUAUUUUACAUACUGUACUAUAGUAUACAACAUAUGGAUGUGUGUAUAGUUUUCGAGUAGGGAUCCUCGAAAAUUUUAUUUUACAUACUGUACUAUAGUAAGGUAGAGAGUUUUUAUUUUACAUACUGUACUAUAGUAUACAACAUACUACAAUUACUAAAAUUUUGGUGUAUACAUAUUUAAAUAAUAUCAACAAUUCUCGAAAGAUAUGCAUUUAUAUCCUUAUUUAUUUCAAAACUAUGGUAAUGGACAAUAUCAUUUCUUUGGGGAAAUUGAGAGGAUCCUUAUUCAUGGUUUUCAUGGGCGUCUCCUACGCCCUCCAUUUUCGCUUCUUAAGCCACUUCCCCAAC
rnacentral:lncRNA from 1 species